CUGGAGCAAGAAGAUCCCAUGCUGUGACCCUCUAGAGGGAAGCGCUUUCUGUUGUCUGAAAGAAGAGAAAGUGCAUCCUUUUAGAGGUUUACUGUUUGAGGAAAGCAGCGGUGAAGUUG